rnacentral:tRNA from 1 species
AUCAAUAUAGUUUAAAAAAAACAUUACAUUUUCAAUGUAAAAAUAAAAUUUAAAUUUUUAUUAAUA